UAACAACCGCCUGACCAUCACCUGAUGGUUGCCUGACAUUUAUGGAAGAGCGCAAAGAAGAUAAUCUGUCUGUUCCAUGAAACGUGAGCUGGGCAGCAGAGGACCAUUUACAAAACCGUUCACCCACACAUUGGCAGAUUGGUAUUGAUUGACAGCUGGGAGUUAAGCUGGUACUGCUCUGAAGUCGCCAUGACCUCUAACCUAGAUGGCUACAAUACCUACUACGACUUCUCCUUGCCUCCAGGUUUGCCUCUCUACAUUCUAUUCUCAACAAAGCAACCAGGGUGAUUCACCUGAAACAUACAAGUCACAUCACGUCACCUCAUGUUACUGUAAUAGAUUUUCAUCUUCUCAGGAUGGAAGUGAAGAGUUAUUAGAAUACCAUAAAGAGACUAUGUUAUGUGUUCCCCAAAUGCCACCCCCCUACUAUACUGGCUUCAUAUUAUACUCUCACCCUUUCUCUUUCUGCUCUGAGCUGUUAGUUGUCUUGUUGUGUCUCCACCAUAAUAUAUAUGUUGCUAACUCAUGGCCUUUA
rnacentral:lncRNA from 1 species